rnacentral:rRNA from 1 species
GCUGACGGCGUGCUUAACACAUGCAAGUCGACCGAAGAGCUAUGGAAGCUUGCUUCUAUCAAUCUUAGUGCCGAACGGGUGAGUAACGCGUAAUCAACCUGCCCUUCAAAGGGGGACAACAGUUGAAUCGACUGCUAAUACCGCAUACGAUCUAAUCUCGGCAUCGAGGAUAGAUGAAAGGUGGCCUCUACAUGUAAGCUAUCACUGAAGGAGGGGAUUGCGUCUGAUUAGCUAGUUGGAGGGGUAACGGCCCACCAAGGCGAUGAUCAGUAGCCGGUCUGAGAGGAUGAACGGCCACAUUGGGACUGAGACACGGCCCAGACUCCUACGGGAGGCAGCAGUGGGGAAUCUUCCGCAAUGGACGAAAGUCUGACGGAGCAACGCCGCGUGAGUGAUGACGGCCUUCGGGUUGUAAAGCUCUGUUAAUCGGGACGAAAGGCCUUCUUGCGAAUAGUAGAAGGAUUGACGGUACCGGAAUAGAAAGC